AAUCAACGCUGGCGGCGUGCCCCAGACAUGCAAGUCGAACGAUUAAACUUUCCUUCGGGAAAGAUAUAAAGUGGCGCACGGGUGAGUAACACGUAAGUAAUCUACCUUCGAGUGGGGAAUAACAUCGGGAAACCGAUGCUAAUACCGCAUAAUGCAGCGGCAUCGCAAGAUGACAGUUGUUAAAGGAGCAAUCCGCUUGAAGAGGAGCUUGCGGCAGAUUAGCUAGUUGGUAAGGUAAUGGCUUACCAAGGCUUCGAUCUGUAUCCGGCCUGAGAGGGCGGUCGGACACACUGAUACUGAAUAACGGGUCAGACUCCUACGGGAGGCAGCAGUCGGGAAUUUUGGGCAAUGGGCGAAAGCCUGACCCAGCAACGCCGCGUGAAGGAUGAAGUAUUUCGGUAUGUAAACUUCGAAAGAAUGGGAAGAAUCAAUGACGGUACCAUUUAUAAGCUCCGGCUAACUACGUGCCAGCAGCCGCCGUAACAC
rnacentral:rRNA from 1 species